UCCAGAGUGGAUCCUGAGUACGGCGGAACACGUGAAAUUCCGUCGGAAUCCGGGAGGACCAUCUCCCAAGGCUAAAUACUCCCUAGUGACCGAUAGUGAACCAGUACCGUGAGGGAAAGGUGAAAAGCACCCCGGAAGGGGAGUGAAACAGUUCCUGAAACCGUGUGCCUACAAGUAGUUAGAGCCCGUUAAUGGGUGAUAGCGUGCCUUUUGUAGAAUGAACCGGCGAGUUACGAUUUGUUGCAAGGUUAAGCGGAAAAAGCGGAGCCGUAGCGAAAGCGAGUCUGAAUAGGGCGCAUAAGUAACAGGUCGUAGACCCGAAACCAGGUGAUCUACCCAUGUCCAGGAUGAAGGUAAGGUAAUACUUACUGGAGGUCCGAACCCACGCACGUUGAAAAGUGCGGGGAUGAGGUGUGGGUAGCGGAGAAAUUCCAAUCGAACUUGGAGAUAGCUGGUUCUCUCCGAAAUAGCUUUAGGGCUAGCCUCGAGGUAAAGAGUCAUGGAGGUAGAGCACUGUUUGGACUAGGGGCCCUUCUCGGGUUACCGAAUUCAGAUAAAC
rnacentral:rRNA from 1 species